rnacentral:rRNA from 1 species
CUCCUUACGUGCGCCGUGCUUAACGGAGACGUGCACUUCUCCUCCAGUAGGACGUCGCGACCCGUUGGGUGUCGGUCUGAGGCUUGCGGUGGAGCCCGUUCGUCAGUUUCGGCUGUUCGUUCGGACCCGUGAUGUUCCGGCCGACUGCUUGACGGUAGAAAUAAGGCGCAGAGCCGCGACUAGCUCGCGUUCGGCCCGAUGCAAGCGCGCACGGUUACCCGAUCGUCGGACAUGUGCCGACCUCAGGGCCGGUCGGCUGUUGGUGUCGGUGUUCCCGAACAGACUCUGUACAAGCCUGUCAGCGGCGCUAUAGCUUUGGGUACUUUCAGGACCCGUCUUGAAACACGGACCAAGGAGUCUAGCAUGUGCGCGAGUCAUUGGGACUAUCUAAUCCUAAAGGCGCAAUGAAAGUAAAGGCAGAGCCUGGCUCAGCCAAGGGAAGAUGGGUGACGCAAGUCGCCUCGCACUCCCGGGGCGUCUCGUUCUCAUUGCGAGAAGAGGCGCACCUAGAGCGUACACGCUGGGACCCGAAAGAUGGUGAACUAUGCCUGAUCAGGACGAAGUCAG